UGGAUCAGAAAAUCGCUACCGAUCUCGCGGAUUCGUGUCAGCUGUGGAAACGGUAAGCUGAUAAAUUAUUCAGAAUAGUUCGAUCGGUGAAUAAAUUAAUGUGCUAGUGCGAUGCUCAUUUAGGUACUCAAUAAAUUGCGCAAGUCAAGCAACUCUCGUCUGACUUCGCAGUUCUUGUGAUUAUUGAGCCAGGUUCAGUUAUAGCGAGUUAUUUCGCUAUUCCGGUCAAUUAGUUGAAUUAGUGUCCCAAGUAGAAUUUUAGUAGACAUGUGUGCUAAUGAAAUAUUUUAAUCACUUAUAAAGAUGUAGUAUAAUUUAUAAAGUAAGGGAUAAGUUUAGAAUUUAAUUAAUUAAUUGAUAAGUUGUGAUUAGGCUAAUUGUAUUUCAUGUGUAUAGUUUGUUGUUCGUGAUGUUUGCGUUAGGUUCGAGAAGCGUAAUUAUUACGGGUAGUCGUAUAUUAAUAACUAGUGUUUUUGGUAUAAAAUUGUACAACGCCUCGCCGCUAGGUGUUUAAUUCGCUAUCGCGUAGUAAUAUUUAGGUUUGAAAUAUUCCGGUCUAUAUGCAUUCAUGUGCAUAAUGCAUUUCAUUCAGGUACGUGAAUUAACCACGCGAUGCGGAGAACCAGAACUGAGUCGACCAUAAGAUGGUGCUGAUGAACGGAACUGGAGAUGGACAGACGAAGCAAGUAUCGGGACAAAGGAUGAUCGUCAAGUGAUCGACGCCUAACAAACACUAACGUAGUGUUUA
rnacentral:lncRNA from 1 species